rnacentral:rRNA from 1 species
UUGAAUUGAAGAGUUUGAUCAUGGCUCAGAUUGAACGCUGGCGGCAGGCUUAACACAUGCAAGUCGAACGGUAACAUAAAG